AGAAGGCUGAGUGCUGAAGACUUCCAAGGUCUUUGCUGUGUGAACAUAAAAUAGAUUAACUGUUGACUCUGUUCAGAGGUGCCUCUUGGUUAUACCAUGCUUUAUUUUAUCCACGUGACUGAAAACAAGGGAUGCGCUCUCAGGGCACAAAGGUAGUCUACAGAAGCCUGAGAGAGGGGAGGUUUAUCCAUCACAGUGGGUGGGAGGUCUGACCAGCCACUAAGCUGUAGAAAGGCCACUGGCAUGUGUGAGAGCCAGAACCAGUGAAUCAACUAGCUACCUGUCUACCAUGGCGAAGCUCAGCAAAGAGAGCAAAGAGACCAAGCAGCGGCUGCAGACGGUGUUCCAGGCCGGACAGUUCGUCAUCCGCUGGGGUUUCAUCCCCACCGUGCUCUACCUGGGUUUCGCCCAAGGGGGUGAUCCUGGUAUGCCGGAGCCCCACAACCCUGACCCGGCAAAUCACCUCCUCCCACCAUGGUCAUGUGACUCCCAGCUGUCACCAUGGAAAUGGACGCCAACUUUCCCUCACCAAUUUCUAUUUGGCCCAUAUAUUAUAGGAUGGUUGGAACUUUCUUUGUCACUACACUCAGUUUGAGUCGGAGACCUGAAGCUCUGAACGCCCUCUCACACUGAAACACCAAAUGGCAUGAUGGACAUCUUAUUCUUAAACUGCACUAUUACUGCUGUGUGAUGGACCGUUUCGCUCUCAUUUAGUUUCCUCUCAGUUUGAAAACAUGUAAAACCUUGUUGUCUUGUCAUUUGGUCAUGGAUCUGUGUUUGUCUGUUUACUUUAAAUGAUCCUGUAUAAAAUGUCUGCCUGUU